rnacentral:rRNA from 1 species
UACAGAGGUCUCAAGCGUUGUUCGGAUUCAUUGGGCGUAAAGGGUGCGUAGGCGGCGCGGUAAGUCGGGUGUGAAAUCUUGGAGCUUAACUCCGAAACUGCAUUCGAUACUGCCGUGCUUGAGGACUGGAGAGGAGACUGGAAUUCAUGGUGUAGCAGUGAAAUGCGUAGAGAUCAUGAGGAAGACCAGUGGCGAAGGCGGGUCUCUGGACAGUUCCUGACACUGAGACACGGAAGGCCAGGGGAGCAAACGGG